rnacentral:rRNA from 1 species
AGUGAACGCUGGCGGCGUGCCUAAUACAUGCAAGUCGAACGGAAUUUAAAAGAGCUUGCUCUUUUAAAUUUAGUGGCGCACGGGUGAGUAAUAUAUAGCUAAUCUGCCCCUUGCUGGAGGACAACAGUUAGAAAUGACUGCUAAUACUCCAUACUCCUUUUUACCAUAAGAUAAAUCGGGAAAGAAUUUCGGCAAGGGAUGAGACUAUAUCGUAUCAGCUAGUCGGUGGGGUAACGGCCUACCGAGGCUAUGACGCGUAACUGGUCUGAGAGGAUGAUCAGUCACAUUGGAACUGAGACACGGUCCAAACUCCUACGGGAGGCAGCAGUAGGGAAUAUUGCGCAAUGGGGGAAACCCUGACGCAGCAACGCCGCGUGGAGGAUGACACUUUUCGGAGCGUAAACUCCUUUUGUUAGGGAAGAAUGAUGACGUACCUAACGAUAGC